CACGUAGGCGGCCUGGUAAGUCAGAUGUGAAAGCCCGGGGCUUAACCCCGGAAGUGCAUUUGGUACUGUCAGGCUUGAGUAUGGGAGAGGGAAGUGGAAUUCCUGGUGUAGAGGUGAAAUUCGUAGAUAUCAGGAGGAACACCGGUGGCGAAGGCGACUUCCUGGACCAAUACUGACGCUGAGGUGCGAAGGCGUGGGUAGCAAACAGGAUUAGAUACCCUGGUAGUC
rnacentral:rRNA from 1 species